UAUGGGGUGCUCAGGGAGGGGUAGUAUCUCUGGUAUGGAGGGCUUGUCGUGCCCUUCUUGGGCAGCUCUCCAGCCACUGACCCUCACCUGACACUCAGCUCUCACUUGUGGCUCCCAGUAGCUGCUAGCAUGCGGCAGCGGCCACACCCCGGGCAACGGCUUCGACAGGCCGGCUAAACCUUGUGAGGGUAGCCAUCGGGUCAUUGACCCCUGGUGAACCAGGGCUUUGCUCACCCAGCAUGUGAAGACUGCUUCGGCGGAACAGACGGAAGAAACCAACAAGAAGGUUCAACGGCUGAGAUGGCAAUGCAGCAAGGCACUGUGGAGUGCUUAGGGCGUGUUGGAGCACAAAAGACAACACGGCCAUCCAAUACAGCUGAGGAAGUCUCCAGGUGUAACGACUUUUCGUGCCACUGGACCCAGGCUUCUAACGCUGAGAGAGUGGGACUGUCUCUGUGCAUCGACUUUUCCACUUAAAUCUUCAUGCACAAGUGUCUUUGUGCACAAAAAUGCACAAAGACAAUCGUCAUCCUCGGUUCGAGAGACAACCAACAUUUCCUCCAUUAACUUAUAAGGUCUUUGAGAACAGGGAGUGUCCUUUGCCUCUUUUCACAUCUCCAGUGCCUGGAACAUAGUAGGUGAUUAAUAAAUGUGUAUUAGAAUGAAUGCAUUUCCUAGCCAUAAGUAUCAAACACAUGGACCACAGUUUACAUGCCACUGCAAAACUCCACGAUUGCCUGAACCAGAUUAAAAUGUAAUUGAGAGUCUUUAUCCAAAUAAAUAAGAAGGCAACAAAACAAAUAGUAUUAUAUUUUAUCUUUAUAAAAAUAUUUUGUUUUUCCAAUUACAUGUAAUAAUUUUUAACAUACAUUUUUCAAAAUUAUAAGAUCCAAAUUGUCUUCUUUCCUUUCUUUCCUCCUCUCUCCCAGAGGUGGAGAGCAAUUUGAUUUGGGUUAUACAUAUAUCAACAUGCCAAACAUACUUCCAUAUUGGCCAUUGUUGUAAGAGACUAUUAAUAUAAAACCAAGCCCCCCAAAUAAAAGCACAAACUAAAGUGAAAAGUAAUAUGCUCUGAGCUGGAUUCUGCCUCCAACAGUUCUUUCUCUGUAAGUCCUUCAGAAUUAUUCUGGAUCAUUGUAUUGCUGAGAAUACCCAAGUCUUUCACAGUCAAUCAGUAUACAAAAUUGUUAUUAUUGUGUACAAUGUUCUUCUGGUUCUGCUCACCUUACUCUGCAUCAGUUCAUACAAGUCUUUCCAAGUUUUUCUGAAAUCUUCCUGCUUAUCAUUUCUUAUAGCACAAUAAUAUUCCAUCACCAUCAUAUACUAAAUUCAAUCACAUUUUAAAACAAAUAUGCAACUGCAGGGAUAUUUAUGUAUGGUUUAGUCACCCUCAUUUAUAUUUAAAUUUGAUACCUAAAGCAGAAAUGAGUACUUGUAAUCACAUAUUAACCUAGAAAAGCAUAAGUUAAUAUUAUCUGUGUUAUACUAUAUAUUAAUUUACUUUGUUAAGCAUUUCCCUAUUACAUUUCAAUCUGGUGUUUGGGGGCAGCAGAGCCCCAAGUUGGACACCUCUUUAAGAUGAUCUAAGUAAACAAACUGUAGCCUUAACCAUCUAAGUGAAACUAAGUGAUAAUCUGCAGCUUCUCUAAUACUUCAAUUCCUUCUUUCCUUCCUCAAUAACGUUAGCAAAACCAUGUUCCUUCUAUCAGCACAGAUUGCAAACCACCCAUGACUGGUCACCCUAAAUGUCAUUUUCUACAUUUUUAAUUAAUUCUCCAUAGAAGGUCCAUCCCAAGUGCUAUAGACAUGCCUCUAAGUCCUCAUCUAUUUCAUGGGUACCAGGACAGUGCUCAGACUAUCUAUUCCUCACUCUGUUUCCAGCCCACCUCCUCUUCUUAUCAUCUGUCUCCCCAAUGAUAUACCUUUUUUCCCCUUGUGGGCAUCAUUUUAGAAAUGUUGUAGCCUAAAUCAUAAUAGCAUUCAUAUAGCACUUGAAGAUUUAGAGUGGGCUUUACAAAUAUCUCAUUUUAUCUUCACAACAAGCCUCUGAGGUAGUUGCUAUUAUUAUCCCCAUUUUACAGAUGAGGAAACCAAGCCACUGGUGGUUAAGUAAUUUGCCCAGGGUUCUAUAGCUAGUAGUAUCUGGGGCAGGUUCAACUCAAGUCUUCCUGACUCUAGGCCAGGUCCAGUGUUCUAUCCAUUGCAUCACUUAGCUGCCUGUUAUACCUAUCCUUUGCACAAAAUUUUGAUUCUUCAGAGAUUGUGUGAUUCCAAAAUUCACAACAAUAUGGCUAAGAGGACAUUUGCGUAUUUUUUAAAAGAUGGGCCUUUUCCCUGAGCAGCUGCUAGGAGUUGUCAAAAAGCAUUGAACAAUUUCCCAAAUUUGUGCCAGUCCCCUCUACUCUCUUCCUCCUAUUCCUUCUAAUUAAUUCUGCAUCUGCAGAGACUGUCUCCUAUAAAUGUACUAAGUCAAAUGGACUAACCAUCCAACUUCAUAGCCUAGUCUGGACAAGUAGCAUUUUUCAUCCAUUUAGUUGUUCUAAUAUAAUAUAAUGAUUUAUAUAACAUAGCAUAUAAUGUUUAUUAUUAAUUAAAUACCAAUUAUUUUAUAAUUAAUAUAAUUAUAUCAAUAAUAUGUAUUAUAUAAUGAUACAAUUAAAUAUUUAUAUAAUGAUUUGUUAGGUUGCACUCUUCAAGAAUCAUACAUCUAAUUGAGGAGACCCUUGGAAAUCUAGGGUUUUAUACAAUCAACAAUAUCAUCCAUAAACAAGAACAUUUGAAGUAUUUCUCCAUCAAUAGGGAAUAGGAGAGAGUUCCUUUUCUAUUUGGAUCUUGUAUGAGAUAUUUUUCAGGUCCAUGGCAAACCCCAUAGGCUUCAACUUCCUACUCUAAGAAAUGAGAGAGUUCAACAGGACAGUCUCUGUAGUCCUUUGAUCCUAUUAUCUCUGAACUUCAGUAAAUGUAGGUGUUAUUUGCUGCCUAUGCAUAGCUAGGUAAUGCAAUAGAUAGAGCACAGGCCAGCCUGAAGAGAGGAAAACUCAUCUUCCUGAGUUCAAAUCCAGCUUCUCAGACAUUUACUAGCUGUGUGGUUAUGGACAAAUUACUUAACCUUGUUUGCCUCAGUUUGCUCAUCUGUAAAAUGAGCUGGAAAAGGAAAUAGCACAGAAUCUUUACCAAGAUAACCACAAAUGGAAUCACAAAAAAUUGGACACAACUGAACAACAGAAACCUGCUACCCAUGUGAUAAGACUCCUCUAGAGAAUAUUCUGGCGUUAUAUAUAAGCAGAUCUAUUUUCUAUCCUGAAAAAAAAAAGAUGUGGACUUUUUUUCUUGCAAAAGGUUACGUCAAAAGAUAAUAAAAGGCAUCUCAUAGGAACCACUUACCUUCCUGUUUCUUGCACUUGACACCUUCCAGGCCUGAAAUUUUUUCUCUCCCUGCCUCCAUUUCCUGGAUUUCCCAGUUCCUUUAAGACUCAAAGCAAAUCCCACCUUCUGCAGGAAAUAUACCCUUGUCACUCCCCCUGCUAGUAUCUUCCCUCUGAGAUUGCUUUUUAUUUACACUGUCUUAUCUUCUACAUAAAUUUUUUUUUCCAUGUUGCUUCCCCCAUUUGAAUAUGAGCUUUUUAAGAGCAGGGACCAUAUUUUUGCCUUUAUAUGAAUCCCCCAGAGAGUAUCACAGGGCCUGGCAUGUAUUAGAUGCUUAAUAAACGUUACCAAAAAUACACUGAUGUGAAAGAUGACUCCAACAAUUCUUUCUUUAGAGGUGGAUAGAAUUGUCCCAGAUCAUUGCAUUGCUGAGAGUAGCCAAGUUUUCACAGAUAAUCAUCAUACAAUAUUGCUGUUGCUGUAUACAAUGUUCUCUCAGUUCUGUUUAUUCCUCUCUGCAUCAGUUCCUGCAGAUUUUCCAGCUUUUUCUGAAAUCAUCCUGCUUAUCAUUUCUUAUAGCACAAUAGUAUUCUAUCACCAACAUGUACCACAAUUUGUUCAGUUAUUCCCCAUAUGAUGGAUAUUCCCUCAAUUUUAAAUUCUUUGCUACUACAAAAAGUGCUAUAAAUAUUCUUACACAGGGAAGGACUUUCCCCUUUUUUAGUAUCUCUUUGGCAUAUAGACCCAGUAGUAUACUAGGUCAAAGGAUGUUCUUAGUUUUAUAGCCCUCCCAGAAUGGUUGGAUCAGUUCACAACUCCACCAAUUCCACCUACGAUGCAUUAGUGUCCCAAUUUUGUCACAUCCUCUCCAAUAUUUAUCACUUACCUGCCAUACUAAUCUGAUAGAUGUGAGGUGGUACCUCACCAUUGUUUUAAUUUGCAUCUCUCUAGUCAAGAGUGAUUAAGAACAUUUUAAAAUAUAAUUAUUGAUGGCUUUGAUUUCUUCAUCUGAAAAUUGCUUUUUCAUAUCCUUUGACCAUUUGUCAAUUGGAGAAUGGCUUGUAUUCUUAUAAAUUUCACUUAGUUCUUUAAUAUUUUGAGAAAUUAGACUUUUAUUAGAGACACUUAUCACAAAAAAAUUUUUUUCCCCAGUUUGUUGUUUCUCUUCUAAUCUUGGUUAGAUUAGUUUCGUUAGUACAAAAGAUUUUUAAUUUAAUAUCAUCAAAAUCAUUCAUUUUAUAUCUUAUAAUACUCACUAUCUCUUGUUUGUCCAUAAAUUCUUCUCUUUUCCCAAGAUCUGCCAGGUAAACUAUUCUGUGUUCCCCUAAUUUAGUUAUGGCAUCCCUCUUUAUAUCUAAAUCAUAUAUCCAUUUUGACCUUAUCUUGACAAAGGGUGUGAGAUAUUGGUCCAUACCUAGCUUCUGCCAUACUGCUUUCCAAUUUUCCCAGAAGUUCUUUUUGAAGAGUGAGUUCUUAUUCUAAAAGCUAGGAUCAUGAGUUUGUGUUCUUAACCAUUAUGUUCAUGUUUGCUGGCUAAGAUGGCUUCUGGGCUCUUUUGGACUCCACAUUGUGGGCUCUGUUUUGUAGUAGUUAAAUUUGUGUUAGGAAAUGGUGAAAAUGAAGGCGAUAAACCUUUGUCCUUUUGGGUUUUUUUCCCAUUUUUUCAGCUUCAGGGCUGGUUUGGAUGGGCAAGGUCAAAGCUGUAGAAUUAUUCAGGGUCUUCUCUUUAGUCUUCUAAUUUGCUAUUAGUUUGAUCUUUCCCAUAGCAGCUCCCUGAUCUGACUUCACUCAAACAGCCCAUUCUACUAUGAUUCUCACAUUCCACUUCAUGAAAAUGCAGGUCUCUUUGCUUUUCAUGAUGUUAUGCGGCAUUUGGCAUAUCUGUACCUUCCAGAUCCCCUAUGGAAGAAAAUAUCCAUGAUAUCAAGGUGGGAAGCUUCCACAUAUUUGGGGCCUUUUUCAUUCCUCAAACCCAAGUCAGAUUUUCCAACAUGCAUUUAACCAGAUUCCCUCAUAUUCAUAUUUCCAUUGAAGUAUUAGUGUAAGUGUUGACAUUGGACUCCUCUGAAAAGGAGCUGGUCCAAGCCUUGCCAGAUGGUCAUUACACAUAUAAAAUUUUAAAGUUUUUGUACAAAAAAAUGCCAGUGAAGGGAAACAGUUAACUGGGGAAAAUCUUUACAGAAAAUUUCUUUCAGGAAGGAAUCAUACUUCUAUAUAUAGAACUGAUUCAAAUGUAUUAAAACAAGAGUCAUUUUCUAUUAGAUAAAUGGUCAAAGGAUAAGAACAGUAGGGUUUUUGUUUUAUUUAUUUAGUUAGUUUUUAAAGCCCUUACCUUCUGUCUUAGAAUCAACACUAAGUGUUGGUUACAAGGCAUAAGAAUGGUAAGGGCUAGGCAAUGGGGGUCAAGUGACUUGCCCAGAGUCACACAGCUAGGAAGUGUCUGAGGUCAGAUUUGAACCCGAGACCUCCUAUCUCUAGGUCUAGCUCUCAAUCUACUGAACCAUCCAGCUGUCCUCUUUUUAUUUAUUUUUAGACAUUGUUUUCUUUUUAAAUUUUGAGUUCCAGAUUCUUUCCCUCUGAAGCUCUGCUUGGUUUCAACUUCUUUUACAAAGAUACCCCUAUACCAGGUCCCAUCUGGUGUCAUCCACUCACACCCUCUAACUGCUUUCCAGUUUCAUUUUGUGUGUUGACUUUCCCCAUUAAAUUGUAUGGGACUCCAUAACUGAGCUAUCUUUUUUCUUGUUUUUAUCUCCGGUGCUUAGCAUAGUGCCUAGCACAGAGUAGGCACUUAAUGUGUUCAUUGAAUUGAAUUGAACUGAUAAGAGUGAAGUGAGUCAAACCCAGACAAUAAUUCAUCAUUACAUUACGAUAACUAUAAAUACAGCAUUAUAAAUACAAACAACUCAAGACCUCUGAUCAGUGCAAUAGAAAGCUGACGAACUCAAAAUGCUGAAUAAGACACACAUUUUCCGCCAGUGUGGAAACUUCUUCCAAUAGUUUUCUUUUUUUCCUAAUGGGAGGAGGCAGAGAGAGUAGAAGGAACAAGGGAUAAAAUUAUAAAAAUAAAUAGAGGAGCAGCUAGGUGCCUCAGUGAAUAGAAAGCCAGGGUUGGAGUUGGGUGGAACUGGGUUCAAAUGUGGCCUCAGACAUUGAUGCUCAGUAUCAAUUCUAAGAUAGAAGGUAAGGGUUUGAAAAGUAAACAGAAAAGAGCAUCAUUGAUGCAUUUUUUAAAGCUCACAGACAAAAACCAAAGCACAAAAAGAAUGAAAGAUAAUACCGUUUUGAAAAUUAAAUGUUGCUAUUGGUUCUGGGAAGGGGGGAAGGAAGAGGGAAGGAAAAGAAAACGAAUCAUGGAAACCAUGGGAAAAUAUUUUAAAAUAAAAAAGAAAUUUAAAAAAGAAAGUUAAAUGUUGAUAGGCAAAAAUUCUUUGUUUCAAGUUUCUCUGAUAAAGGUUUGAUACCCAAUAUAUAUAAACAAUGAACAGAUACUGUAUAUCUCAGAUGUUUUAGUGCCAUUUAAAGCAAUUAAAACAAUAUUUAAAUUAUGAAGCUUAUUUGGGAGGAGGAGAAUGAAGGAAUUUUUUCUUACUCCUGUCCUCAUUAGCCAUAGUUUCCAGGAGCCCUAAAGGAGAUAUACUCGAGGGGGGGCGGGACUGCGUGGUUCAGUGGAUUGAGAGCCAGGCCUAGAGAUGGGAGGUCCUAGGUUCAAAUCUGACCUCAGACACUUCCCAGCUGUGUGACCCUAGGCAAGUCACUUAACCCCCUAUUGCCUAGCCCAUACUGCUCUUCUGCCUUGGAGUCAAUACACAGUAUUGACUCCAAGUUGACUCCAAGACGGAAGGUAUGGGUUUAAAUAAAUAAAUAAAGGAGAUACACUCCACAGCAGUUGGAGUGUUUAGAAUAAAAGAGUUCAGGUACAAUUGAGGCAAACCUGGGUACAGAGGGACAGACAUGCUAGAUCAGAAGCAAUCUACCUGUGUCAGCAGAGAAGGACUCAAGAGAGAUCCAGUCCUGGAAACCUAGACAUGGGCUACAGAAAGGGCUUUGAGCCUCCAGUUCUUUAUCUGUUUGCUACAUUGUACUCUUAAGUCUUAGGCCAUUCUUCCCAUACAUGCUGUGUGUAUUAAUGAAGAAUGAGAUUGAGGGAAAUGUUUUCUAGCUGGCAUUCUUUCAGUUCCAUUUUCCUAAGUGCCUUUGCUAUGAGCUAGUUGUGCCUAUUGUGAGUGGACAACACACUAGUAGGGGUUGAGGGACCCGAGCUGUGAGUUCAAGCACAAGUUAAGGGAUUCCUGCAUUUACUUUAGAUAAGUUGAAGUGCCCAACUCUAGGAAAGGGGCAGCUUUUUCUUUCCAGGUUUGAGAUGAUUUCCACAAUGGAUUUUCUUCUUCAAUAGGCUUAAAUGCCUCAAAAUCCUUAUUACCUGCCUUGACUGUUAGUGGUAGAGCUCUGAGAAGGCUCUGAGAAUUUCUGAAGGAAACAUCUGAGCUGGCCAAGUUUUGAAUCUUGAAAAACCUCAAUUCAAAGGAAAACCUCACUUCUACUAUCCACGGAAUAGAUUUAGAGUAAAAAGUCAAAGGGGCAGCUGGGUGGCUCAGUGCAUUGAGAGCCAGACCUAGAGAUGAAGUCCUGGGUUCAGAUGUGAUCUAAGGCACUUCUUGGCUGUGUGACUCCGAGCAAAUCACUCAACCCCCAUUGCCUAGCCCUGACUGCUCUUCUGCAUUGGAACUAAUACUUAGUAUUGAUUCUAAGACAGAAGGUAAGGGUUAAAAAAAUAAAAGGCAGUGCCUGAGUUGGGGAUAGAGCCCCAGCCAUUUCCACCAAAGCAGGUUGUUGUUUUCAUCCUCUUUCUCUCUGAAAGAUACCACCAUCUGCUCUUUGCCGUGACUAACACCUGCCCAGGGCUCUGUAAACACCCAGAGACAGCUUUGGACACAUUCGGUGGCAGGCCAGGAAGUACACAAGCAUAAGUCCAGCUGUCUAGGCAAAGCAGAUGCUUUAGAGGGUUCCCUUUCAGGGACUUGCAAGCCUUGUUACUGUAGAAACAGCUUCAGGUGUCAUGGCUUAGGAACAAGCAGCCAUGUGGACCAGUGUGUUGGUUUUAUUUACUUAACUCUUGUUUCUUAUUACAAGAGAAGCCUGGGGUGAGGAGGAAUGUAUGGAAAGUCAUACAGAUCUUACGAUCCUCAUUUUACAGAUGAGAAAACUGAGGCCUUUGCUCAGGCCACCAGCCUGCUAAACAUCUGAGGCAGGACCUGGGACAUGGAUUUUCCUGAUUCAGCUAAGCCCAGCACUUUCCAGGCUCCCCACCUUUCCAGAGUUGUGGGAAACUGAAAUGAGGCAAUGGCUAGGAAAGCCUUUUGUAAGGUUCUCCUCCCUAGAGGAGCUCAUGGUCAGUGGGUAGGCAGGUAAAGUCCAUGAAAGCACAAUAGACUCUGUGUGUAUGUGUGUGUGUGUACAGCGAUCCCUCACCUAUCACGGGAGUUAUGUUCCAGAGACUCCCGUGAUAGGUGAAAAUUCCCGAAGUGGCAGCAUUAUAUUUAUUUUAUUAUUUAUAUCUAUUUUAAAGCUUUAUAAAUCAUUCCCACUCUCCUAUAAACCUUUUCCACAUUCUUAUUAACCUUUCCCACACUCUUAUAAACACCAAGCCAAUCAGGACUCAGGAUAUAGAACACAGCACUGUGGUUGGUCACCUUAAUUCCAUCAGCCAAUAGUGUGCUGUGUACAAUCUCAAGUUGGCAAACUUGAGCAAGUGGUAGUGGCGUACUGCAUUUCCAUUGUGUACAGUAUGGUAUUCAUCCACAAAAUCCCGCAAUAUAGCAGAAACUGUGAUAUAGAAUUGGAUUUUUUUUUAAACCCAUCAAUACAGUGUGUGUAAAGCCAUGAUAAGUGAACUGCAAUAUAGUGAGGGAUGACUGUAUGUGUAUGUGUGUGUGUGUGUAUAUAUAUACAUAUAUGUGUAUAUAUAUGGUAUGCUGAUGGUACCCAUGAGUAUCAGCAUGAAUUACCACAAGCAGAGUGGGAACUGUCUACACCAUUUAUCAAAUCAAGCACAGUUUGCUUGGCAGAACUGCUAGAGGGCUUGCCCUUAAGCUUUCCCAAAGAGCUUGGUUCAAAUCUUGCCACUGAAGUUAUGGAACAUUGGACUGCUCAUGUAGCGGCUCCAUACUCCAAGGUGGAUCUUCCAGACUCCUCUACUUAUGUGAUAGACUGAUGACAAAGAGCAUUUAUUAAACAUUUGGGUGCCUGGUUUUGUAUUGAGAGCUGGGGACACAAAGGUCCCUGCCUUUAAGAAGCUCACAUUUUACAUGGUGAUUCAACAUAUAUAUCAGGAGGCACAGACAAGGGGCAUUCAGGAUACAAAGAAGGUAAGCUUAGAGGGGAAGGCUAGGUGGUAGCAGCUGUGGGGAAGGAGGCAGGUGGAGGACUAGGGAAGAGAGAGUGCAAGUAUGAGAAGUAUAUUUUUAUCCAUGUUUAAAGACUCUAUGGGGGACAGCUAGGUAGCUCAGUGGAUAGAAAUUCAGAUCUAGAGAUGGGAGGUGGGUUCAAAUCUGACCUCAGACACUUCCUAGCUAGGUGACUCUGGGCAAGUCACUUAACCCCAAUUGCCUAGUCCUUAUUCUUCUGCCUUGGAACCAAAAUUUAGUUUCUAUUCUAAAGCAGAAGGUAAGGGUUUUAAGAAUUUUUUUUUAAUGAGGUGAUGGCUGAAGCUAUGUGAAUUAAUAGAUUCCCAAGGAAGAGAACACAGAUGAAGAAGAAAACCCUAGGCAAUGGUCUGCUUAAAGGAAUGGGGGAAAGUAUGAGAAAGAGCCAAGGAAACAGAGAAUGAGGCUAGAGGAACAAGAGAACCAAGAGAGGGAGUUGUCUUAAACCAGGGAAGAAAAGAGAAUUCAGAAGCAAUCUGAAAAAGAAUCUGGAGUAGUCAAGGCACAAGAUCAAGGAUGAUAAGGUUUCAAAAAAGAAUUUAAAGCCAUUGAUACUAAAAAUUGUAAAAAUGAAGAAUGUGAACAAGGGAAAUAAUAUAGGGGAAGAGGGGAAAGGGCAUUUGCCCCUAAAAAUAGGGAAAGAUUAGUGUACAGAGAAAUGCCAUGUGAGAUCACUGGGACUAGAAGAAACAUCAGCCAACAUGAACAGUUCCAUAUAUAAUGAAGAUCAGAAAAAGAGACUUGUAUAUGAAACUGUGUGGUAUCUCUGUGAUAUCCAUUUUAAAAAUAUAUAUACAUUAAAUUUAGCAUAGUAUUAUCAAUAUUGCCCUAACUUGUCUGACUCCUAAAUUUCUUACUCCUCUCUUUUGUGUAUUUUUUUAAAACCCUUACCUUCCAUCUUAGAAUCAAUGCUGCAUACUGGUUCCAAGGCAGAAGAGUGGUAGGCAAUGGGGCUUAAGUGACUUGCCCAGGGUCACACAGCUAGGAAGUGUCUGAGGCCAUCUUUUGUGUAUUUUUAAACAUUUCAUUGACUCCCUUUUUUAUCUCUAUUACUCUUCAUCCCCUAAUUAUCGUCCACAAAAAUAAGCCUUCUCUUGUACAAAUAAAUAGAUAUAAUCAAAUAAAACACAUUCACAUUGGCCAUGUCUAAAAAUGUGAACUUCUAGUUCAUCUCUUCUCCUCUUGCCAAGUGAUGGGAAAUGGCAGCCACCAUCUAUCCCCUGGAGUCACAUUUGGUCACUUCAUUGAUCAAAGAUUUCAUCUUUCAAAGCUGUUUUCCUUUAUUAUAUUGCAGUGAUUGUAUAAGUUGUUCUGUUUUAAUACACUUUAAAAGUAAAACCAGUCAUUUAGUUUUCAUGAAGACUAACUGCUCCCUCCUCUUCCAACCAGAACAUUGUCUCCUGGUAUUUGAUUCUCUUUGGCACAUUGUGACUCAUUCCUCAGCUGCUGGUUUCCUCAGCCUGUCACACCAAACGGGAGCUGGCAUUUAGCCCAGACUGGCAGAAUAUGAGGAAACACAGGCAUGGACUUCCCCAUUUACCAUAAUUCUGAAAUGUCUCUGUAAAUACAGCUGUCUUAACCAGAUGAAAACAGUUGUCAGGCUUUAGCUUAAUAACUGAUUGGGUUAAUCCUCAGUUUUCCAGGGUAGAUUUUCCUGUUUAAAAAUUAUUCAGGUCCAUUACUUUCCCUGGGGAGAUCAGCUUGGACAAGUCACUUUACUCCAAGCCUUGGUUUUCUCCUCUGUAAACUGAAAGAGUUAGAUGAGAUCAAUUUAGACUAAUAACUUUUUGUGUUAUGGAUCCCUUUGGGAAAGCCAAUGGAGUCCUUUUCAGGAUUAAGUUUUUAAAUGUCUAAAUAAAAUACAAAGGAUUUCAAAGUAGACCAAUUAUAUAAAAAUACAGUUGUCAAAAUAUGUGUGAACAUAUAUAGACACACAUGCACAAACACAUAUACAUGCAUGUACAUGUAAAAUGAUAUAUAAAUAUAUUCUAAACUUGAAGGUCUAUGAAAUUGUAUACACAUAUAAUUAUACUUGUAUAUUAAUAUAUUACAUAUACAUAUACAUAUAUAUGUGUAUAUACAUGUUGCUAUUCAAUCAUUUAAUCAUGUCCAGUUCUUCUUUAAAAAACAAAACAAAACAAAACCAUCCUUACCUUCUGUUGUUGACAAAAGACAGUCAACAUUAAGUAUCAGUUCCAAAGUAGAAGAGCAAUAAGGGCUAGGCAAUGGGGGUUAAGUGACUUGCCCAGGAUCACACAGCUGGUAUCAUGUCUGGUGUCAGUUUUGAACCCAGGACCUCCUGUCUCUAGGCCUGGCUCUCUAUCCACUGAGCCUUUUAGCUCUCCUGUGUCUAAUUAUUCUUGACCCCUUGGACCGUAGCUCACCAGUACUAUUCAUGAGAUUUUCUUGGCAAAGAUUCUGGAGUGGUUUUCCAUUUUCUUCUCAAGUGGACUAAGGCAAAGAGAGGUUAAGUGACUUAUCCAGGGUCAUAUAGCUAGUAAGUGUCUGAGGUCACAUUUGAACUCAGAUCUUCUUGGGUAUCCUCUGUACCAUCUAGCAUGUAUGUAUGUUUACUUUUGUGUUUUAAAAAAAAUAUAUAUAUAUAUUUCACUUUCUGUGAUUUCCAGUUACCUUUGGUUAACAGCAAAAGCACUGGAGGUCUGCCCUGGGGUAGUCUUUUCUGCUUUCACUUAAGGUUUUUUUUUUAAAAAUAUGUAUGUGUGUGUGUGUGUGUGUGUGUGUGAGAGAGAGAGAGAGAGAGAGAGAGAGAGAGAGAGAGAGAGAGAGAGAGGGAGAGAGAGAGAGAGAGAUGAGGAGUGAGGAGAGAGAACACAUAUAUAUGGGGUUAACCUGCAUGUUUAUUUCUACUUUUCAACCAUCCAUAGCAGGUCUUGGAAUAUAAGCUUCUUGCAGUAACCAUUUAUAAUACGGUGUCAAAACUACACAAAAACCUUAGUGAAGUUUUAAGCUAUUAGAGCUUUAAACUGUACCCAGACUUUUGGGACACCCCACCUAAGGAGGAAGAGCAUACAAAAUGAAGUGUGGGUGAAUCCAACAUUUUCAGACUAAGUCUAUGAUUUUAGCAGCCCCCGGGAGUGGGAAAGCAGACUGACAUUUCAACUCUAAUACCUAGUCCUGGAGAGCUGGAUGAGUUACCUGGGCACUAAGAGGUAAGUGAGUUGCUCACUCUUCUGGAGAAUAAUUUGGAACUAUGCCCAGAGGGCCAUAAAACUGCAUAUCCUUUGACCCAGCAAUACCACUACUAGAUCUGUAUCCCAGAGGGAUCAAAGGCAGGGAAAAGGACUGACUCGGACAAAAAUAUUUAUAGCAUCUCUUUUUGGAGUGGCAAAGAACUGGAAACUGAAGAGGCAUGUCCAUAAAUUGGGGAAUGGCUGAAGAAGUUGUAUUUGAUUGCAAUGGAAUAUUAUUGUGCCAUAAAAAAUGGCAAACAAGAGGAUCACAAAACAACAUGGAAAGACUUAUGUGAAGCGAGCAGAACCAGGAGAGUUUUGUACACAAUAACAGUGUGAUGAUCAACUGUGAAUGACUUAACUUUUAUCAGCAAUGCAAGAAUCCAGGACAACUCUAAGAAACUCAUGACAAAAAAGACUACCCACCACCAUAGAAGGAACUGACUAGAGUCUGAAUGCAGAUUGAAACAUGCCAUUCUUCACUUUAUUUCCACCACGAAUUUUUCUCUAUCGUAAGUGAUAUGUGUCUUUUUUCAUAACAUGAUGAACAUGGAAAUAUGUAUUAUAUGAUAAUGCACAUACAACCUACAUGUGUGACCCUGGGCAAGUCACUAACUCCCAUUGUCCAGCCCUUACUACUCUUCUACCUUGGAACCAAUACCAGUAUUGAUUCUAUAUAUAAUAUAAUGUAGGAAUAUAGUUAGGGAUGGUCUGGUUUUCUAGGGUUAGUUGAAAAAAGGGAAUUUUGAGAUAAACCCUGGGAGAGGAUUCUGGGUAGGAAAAGGAAUUGUGGGAGUCUAAAACUGAAAAUAACUGAACUUCACUUCCUUCUUGGAUUUCAUCUGAGCUGGAAGUGGGUUUUGUCUCUCUGCCUACAUUUCCAUCAAGCUGAAGGAGGGGUUUUGCUCUAAAAGAUUCUCCCUGGGUAGCCAGGAUUUUGUGGAGAAAUCUUUGACAUCGAGGUAUAGGAUUUAUUUGGAGAAAAUCAAUUUUCCCUGAGUCCAAAGAUCAUCUGCCAGUGGUCCAGCUGCCAGAAUUCCUCUUGGCUAAGGCCCUACUGGGAAGUUUUGCGCUUGUGGCAGCAAGUUUGAUACCUCUGGGCAAUAAAGGAUGUCACAGAGAAGUCAAAGAAGGUAAGCAGGUCAUGUGGUGAAAGCAAGAGGUAAUUAAAGAAUGGUCUGUGGACUUCAUUUGUUGUUGUUCAGUUGUAUCUGACUCUUUGUGACCCCAUUCAGGUUUUUUUGGCAGAGAUACUGGAUUGAUUUGUCAUUGCUUUCUCCAGCUCAUUUUACAGAUGAGGAAACCGAGAUAAAUUGGGUAAAGUGCUUUGCUCAGGGUCACACAGCGAGUAUAGGUCUGACUAGAUUUGAACUCAGGAAGAUGACUCUUCCAGACUCCAGGCCUGGUACUCUAUCCACUGUACUACUUUAGCUGCCCUGUGUCCUCCAUUAGUAUCUACUCAGUGUUAAGAGAAUUAAUGAAAAACCCUUGGUACACUGGAUAGACCUGCUAUAGACAACAUGGCAGGCAUGAAGCCGAAUAACACAAGAUCAAGAAGGCAUGGAUGGAAUGUGAUAUGCUUCAUUGGAGCAAGUGUCUACAUUAACCAGGUCACACAUCAUUGCAGGAAAGAGACAAUCCCUGAAAUUGGACAAGCCCAUUGACCUCUCUCCAUAGGAUAUGUACUCUGACCUGCCCUUCUUUGCUAGAAGGACAAAGGAGAGACUGAAAAGAUUCCAAAGCAACAUAUUUAAAAGAGCACAUGGCAGAGCUUUUCUUUUCUUUUUUUUUUAAUUAAACCCUUACCUUCCGCCUUUGAGUCAAUACUGUGUAUUGGCUCCAAGGCAGAAGAGUGGGAAGGGCUAGGCAAUGGGGGUCAAGGACUUGCCCAGGGUCACACAACUGGGAAGUGUCUGAGGCCAGAUUUGAACCUAGGACCUCCCGUCUCUAGGGCUAGCUCUUCUUUAGCUUUUAUAACCUCCUGAGAAAUGAAGUUCUUUCUAUCAAGUCAUCUUCAACCCAAUCCCUCACUCCUAGGUGCCAAGGGACCAGUCAGUAAUUGGUGUGUUGGCCAUGGCCUUUAUUGGAUAGAAGGAAGACACAACAUGUAUGCAGAGAAAUAAAAUGCAAGACAGAGUUUGGUAGAAACAAAGAAGAGAUGCAAGGAGCUCUAGAAAAAUUUGGAGGAGAGAAUACUUUCAACCAAAAGAACAGAGAAGAUCUCAUGCAAAAAAAACUUCAUCUGCAUGGCAGGGAACUUAGCUCUAAAGGAAAAGCAGGAUUUCAAAAACAGGUAGAUAUAAAGAGGGCAUAUAGAUGAGGUAUUAAGGAAUAGGUGGCUUAUAUAAAUGCUCCAAAGCAGGAGGCAUCAAGAUAUGUAUGUUAGAAAUCCAAUCUAGUUGGAACAUGGAGAAUAUGAAUAAGGAUUAUAUAAAGUAAGGCCAGAAAAGUAGGCUGGAGCCAGACUGUGGAAGACUUUUAAAAAUAGAUUUUUAUUGAACUAAUUUCUUUUGACAGCCACCCCCCCUUCCUCUUACUCCUCCCCAAAAGUCAUCACUUAUAAAGAAUUUUUCUCUUUUUUAAAAAUAUUUUUCAGCAUCCUUGCAGGAUCCAAACUGGCACCCACCACCACAGUUCCCUCUCUUGGGCACACCCAACUGCAGCCACAGGAAGACACUUCGGGGAGAGCAAUCCCCUCUCAACAUGCUCACCAUAGUCUUCACCUUCUUGAAUAGUAGUGCCUCCCAGACAACAUCUGAAUGUUGGCUCUGUUUGAACCCCCAGCCCUUUAUUAUAUUGGCAUUGGGCCAUUGGGACUGUGAUUUCCUCUCCCUCCCAACCUUCUGUGUGUCACCUCAAUCUCAGACCAUGAGGCCAAAACCCAGUAUAACUGGGGACAAGAGUCAAUUCACAAUCUGGGGAAUCUACAGGGCAAUGGCACUUAUUUUCUGGACCUGGAGUCAGACUUUAGCCACUCAUUCCUGGUACCUUCUUGUUCAGUGCUUCCUACUCUGAUCCCUCAGGUAUUUGGUAUAGAAGGUACCCCCUGUUUCACCUGCACUACUGGUAUUGCCCCUGUUUGUCCCCCAAAACCUUGAAAUCAUGGGAUGUUGUGGGAAUCCCAGUGGUUUGCAUCCUGGUCCAUAUUAUUUCCUAGGUUUACUAUUAUUUUGGGGGAGGGAACAUUUUGAAUGGAUGCAGACUGGGGGACCCCUCUCUAGCUUUGCCAAGUUUCUUAGGGUGCCCAUUCUCAUUCCUAUUCCAGUGGGCUGCUGUGAGGUGGGUCAGCCUCCCACAGGGGAUGGGGUCUUGGAGGUGGGACAGUGUUGGGGAAAUGAUGGAUGGGACACAGCUUUUGCAUUUAAUCCUCAGCACAGGUUUCACAGGAUAAACUGCUCCACCUUGGGUGAGGCCUGGCUUUAUUUUAUACCCUCAUGAUCAUACAUCUACUUGGCACACAGCUUUAUUCUCAACAUACAUGUUUCUAUAGAACCUAACAACAGACAGGAAGCCUAGGGAGAUAGUCAGUGAAACAUUGUUGCUAAGUGCAGGAUCAAAGGGUAGAAUCAACAUGACCCAGAUAUAGGUUAGGAAAUUCAGAGCACAGAUUUGCCAGAAGUUUUUAUGCCUAGGAAAGAGGGUCCUAUCUAAGUAGGUAUAUAAGGAUCCUUAGGUUUAAUUUUGUAAGUGGGCUCUCCUAGUAAUAUCUUAGGGGGACAGAGUAGGACAUCUAUAUUAAUUCUGCAAGCAUGUUGCUCUCAUCUAUUUUUUCUGGGGCUAAGUAAGAAUAAUAAUCAUAGCAAUUCUAAUAAUAAGGGGAUGUUAAUAAUGAAAGUCACUUAGGAGGGUUUCAGUGGGUAUUUCCAUCCUUCCUGGGGGCUGCUUUGCAGUCCCCAGUUCCCACAUGGACCAUGUCAAUGUGGUCUUUUAUGGCUCCCGGCAGUGCGCCUAGGUAUUGGAGGGUCCACUGCCUUGAGUACAGCUGCCCUAGUGCAGGGUAAUCAGAAUUUCCAGACUCUUAACAGAUUGAUUUUGAUCUUAGUGAAUUGGAAAAUUCUCCUAGAAAACUCAGUCAUCUCUGGCAGAGAUGGUUCUUCAAAAUAGGUAAGGGCUGGACCUUCUCUUCCUCAAGCAGGGUGGCCUUUGUGUAGCCCUGGGGGAAAUCUUGCUGCUUCUAUGCUAACCAUUCUGGGGUUAUACAGGAGUCUCUCACUUCACUCAGAGGCAGGAUUCAAGACAGGGAACAGGCAAGUGCUCAAUCUACCAACUGGUAUUCGAUUCUUUUCUCCUUGUCUCCCUGGUUAACUACCCUUCUGACAGCCUUAGCUGGUCCUGUCCUACUGUUACUGGGUUUUCUGAUAGUACCCUGUUGAUUUACUGCCUGACUUCCUGCAUUUGUACGCAACUACAGGCAGUAAAAUUGCUUGUUAGAAGAGUCAAGGGUUUGACUCAUAAGAGGAGGGAUUGAAGUAGACAAAACCUGUAUUCCCAGGGAGCCAGUAAGCCUGUGGGAUCCCCAGGGAACAGUAAAAGGCCCAGACAUACUACAGCCCAAUUUAACUCUUUAUGACAGGACAAGAGACCUCCACCAAAAACAAUGGCAUGCAUCUUAUCCUGCCUAAUUGCUAAAAGCAUAAACAGUCUGCUUCUGUGAAUUAUUGCCCACUUGCUUUUGCCAACCCUUAUAAUGAAGUAUACAUGUAUGAUUUUUGUUUAAAUCUACCAAUCCCCUCCUUUGGCACACCUGUCCCUCUGCACUUCUAUAAAAUUUGUACCUACCCUUUUUUCAGGGUGACUCCCAUUAAGAGGGAGCUCCUUGCAAGCUGGUAAUAAACAGGUUACUAUAAUUUGAA